AGUAGUAGUAGUAGUAGUAGUAGUGGAAAUAUGUGUCUGUAAGUGUAGCUAUUCCAAGAUGUUUUCCAUAAGUUACAGUGUGUUGCGAGUCUAGCACAUAGUUGGUAGGUGUCAAAGUAUGUUGCUGGUAGUGUGAGAGGGUGUUACAAAAGUUUUUUUCCGAGUGUUACAGUGUGUAUUUGAGCUUCCUUUCGGCCACCUCUUUUGUUUUACUUUAGGAGCAGCGAGUAGCGGGCUUUUUUUUUAUUAUUGUUUUCUUUUUUUGUGUGCCCUUGAGCUGCCUCCUUUGUUGUAAAAAAAAAAAAAAAAAAAGAGUAUGUAGUUGGUAGUGUUACAAGCUCCCCCAGGUUUUGCCAUAGUGUUGCGAAUAGGGUUAGCGCUUCAACGGUAUGGGAAAGAACUUGAAAGGGUUGUUAGAUGUUAGGGUGUGUUGCAAGAGCUAGGUUUUUCAAGUCUUUCAAAGUUGCGAUUAGGCCUAGCGCUACAGCAGUAAGAGAUAUGUGUUGUUAGGUCUCAGGGUGUGUUUCAAGCUGUGUUCCAAGUGUUACAGGGUCCCCCCACGUGUUGCAAGAGGUUUUUCAAGUCUUGUAUAGUUACGAUUAUAGGCUUAGCGCUACAGCAGUAAGAGAUGUAUAAGUGUUGUUAGGUCUCAGGGUGUGUUGCGAGAUGUGUUCCUAGUGUUACAGGGUCCCCCCACGUGUUGCAAUAGGUUUUUCAAGUCUUGUAUAGUUACGAUUAUAGGCCUAGCGCUACAACAGUAAGAGAUAUAUAAGUGUUGUUAGGUCUCAGGGUGUGUUUCAAGCUGUGUUCCAAGUGUUACAGGGUCCCCCCACGUGUUGCAAGAGGUUUUUCAAGUCUUGUAUAGUUACGAUUAUAGGCCUAGCGCUACAGCAGUAAGAGAUAUAUAAGUGUUGUUAGGUCUCAGGGUGUGUUGCGAGAUGUGUUCCUAGUGUUACAGGGUCCCCCCCACGUGUUGCAAGAGGUUUUUCAAGUCUUGUAUAGUUACGAUUAUAGGCUUAGCGCUACAGCAGUAAGAGAUGUAUAAGUGUUGUUAGGUCUCAGGGUGUGUUGCGAGAUGUGUUCCUAGUGUUACAGGGUCCCCCCACGUGUUGCAAUAGGUUUUUCAAGUCUUGUAUAGUUACGAUUAUAGGCUUAGCGCUACAGCAGUAAGAGAUAGAAGUGUUGUUAGGUCUCAGGGUGUGUUGCGAGAUGUGUUCCUA